rnacentral:rRNA from 1 species
UGCAGUCGAACGAAAUCUUCGGAUUUAGUGGCGGACGGGUGAGUAACGCGUGAGAAUCUGCCUUCAGGACGGGGACAACAGUUGGAAACGACUGCUAAUACCCGAUGUGCCGCAAGGUGAAAAUUAUUUAGCCUGAAGAGGAGCUCGCGUCCGAUUAGCUAGUUGGGGUGGUAAAAGCGCACCAAGGCAACGAUCGGUAGCUGGUCUGAGAGGAUGAGCAGCCACACUGGGACUGAGACACGGCCCAGACUCCUACGGGAGGCAGCAGUGGGGAAUUUUCCGCAAUGGGCGAAAGCCUGACGGAGCAAUACCGCGUGAGGGAGGAAGGCUUUUGGGUUGUAAACCUCUUUUCUCAAGGAAGAAGAACUGACGGUACUUGAGGAAUCAGCAUCGGCUAACUCCGUGCCAGCAGCCGCGGUAAUACGGAGGAUGCAAGCGUUAUCCGGAAUUAUUGGGCGUAAAGCGUCCGCAGGUGGUACAUCAAGUCCGCUGUUAAAGACCAGGGCUCAACCCCGGGAAGGCAGAGGAAACUGAUGAACUAGAGUACGGUAGGGGUAGAGGGAAUUCCCAGUGUAGCGGUGAAAUGCGUAGAGAUUGGGAAGAACACCAGUGGCGAAGGCGCUCUACUGGACCUGUACUGACACUCAGGGACGAAAGCUAGGGUAGCGAAAGGGAUUAGAUACCCCUGUAGUCCUAGCCGUAAACGAUGGAUACUAGGCGUUGCUUGUAUCGACCCGA